rnacentral:rRNA from 1 species
AACGAACGCUGGCGGCAUGCCUAACACAUGCAAGUCGAACGAGACCUUCGGGUCUAGUGGCGCACGGGUGCGUAACGCGUGGGAACCUGCCCUUAGGUUCGGAAUAACUCCCCGAAAGGGGUGCUAAUACCGGAUAAUGUCUUCGGACCAAAGAUUUAUCGCCUUUGGAUGGGCCCGCGUUGGAUUAGCUAGUUGGUAGGGUAAAAGCCUACCAAGGCGAGGAUCCAUAGCUGGUCUGAGAGGAUGAUCAGCCACACUGGGACCGAGACACGGCCCAGACUCCUACGGGAGGCAGCAGUGGGGAAUAUUGGACAAUGGGCGAAAGCCUGAUCCAGCAAUGCCGCGUGAGUGAUGAAGGCCUUAGGGUUGUAAAGCUCUUUUACCCGGGAUGAUAAUGACAGUACCGGGAGAAUAAGCUCCGGCUAACUCCGUG